ACCUUCCUUGUCAUGGGGUGAAGUGAGAAGCUCAAUGAACGCGUGGUGAGAGUUUCUCUGCUAACAACCAUGAAACAACACCUUCGCAUCACCUGAACCUUAGUGUUCAGAUCAUGGUGCAAUUUUUGGACCC